GGAGGAAAGCAGGGGAUCGCAAGACCUUGCGCUAAAGGAGCGGCUGAUGUCUGAUUAGCUAGUUGGUGAGGUAAAGGCUCACCAAGGCAACGAUCAGUAGUUGGUCUGAGAGGACGGCCAACCACACUGGGACUGAGACACGGCCCAGACUCCUACGGGAGGCAGCAGUGGGGAAUUUUGGACAAUGGGUGAAAGCCUGAUCCAGCCAUGCCGCGUGAGUGAAGAAGGCCUUCGGGUUGUAAAGCUCUUUUAGUCGGAAAGAAAAGAUCAUAAUGAACAAUUAUGAUUCAUGACGGUACCGACAGAAAAAGCACCGGCUAACUACGUGCCAGCAGCCGCGGUAAUACGUAGGGUGCGAGCGUUAAUCGGAAUUACUGGGCGUAAAGGGUGCGCAGGCGGUUUUGUAAGUCAGAUGUGAAAUCCCCGGGCUUAACCUGGGAAUUGCGUUUGAAACUACAAAGCUAG
rnacentral:rRNA from 1 species